rnacentral:tRNA from 1 species
AGUAGGGUAAGCUAAGCAAGCUAUCGGGCCCAUACCCCGAAAAUGAAGGCCAAGCCCCUUCCCCUGCUA